AUUGAACGCUGGCGGCAGGCUUAACACAUGCAAGUCGAGCGGGGUGAUGGUGCUUGCACUAUCACUUAGCGGCGGACGGGUGAGUAAUGCUUAGGAAUCUGCCUAUUAGUGGGGGACAACAUCUCGAAAGGGAUGCUAAUACCGCAUACGUCCUACGGGAGAAAGCAGGGGAUCACUUGUGACCUUGCGCUAAUAGAUGAGCCUAAGUCGGAUUAGCUAGUUGGUGGGGUAAAGGCCUACAAAGGCGACGAUCUGUAGCGGGUCUGAGAGGAUGAUCCGCCACACUGGGACUGAGACACGGCCCAGACUCCUACGGGAGGCAGCAGUGGGGAAUAUUGGACAAUGGGGGGAACCCUGAUCCAGCCAUGCCGCGUGUGUGAAGAAGGCCUUAUGGUUGUAAAGCACUUUAAGCGAGGAGGAGGCCCUUUUGGUUAAUACCCAAGAUGAGUGGACGUUACUCGCAGAAUAAGCACCGGCUAACUCUGUGCCAGCAGCCGCGGUAA
rnacentral:rRNA from 1 species